rnacentral:rRNA from 1 species
AUACGGAGGGUGCAAGCGUUACUCGGAAUCACUGGGCGUAAAGGACGCGUAGGCGGGAAGCCAAGUCUGAUGUGAAAUCCUAUGGCUUAACCAUAGAACUGCAUUGGAAACUGGUUACCUAGAGUAUGGGAGGGGGAGAUGGAAUUAGUGGUGUAGGGGUAAAAUCCGUAGAUAUCACUAGGAAUACCGAAAGCGAAGGCGAUCUCCUGGAACAAUACUGACGCUAAGGCGUGAAAGCGUGGGGAGCAAACGGGAUUAGAAACCCCAGUAGUCC